rnacentral:rRNA from 1 species
CGUAGGUGGCAAGCGUUGUCCGGAUUUAUUGGGUUUAAAGGGUGCGUAGGCGGUGAUUUAAGUCAGUGGUGAAAUACUUCAGCUUAACUGGAGAGGUGCCAUUGAUACUGGGUCACUUGAGUACUGAUGAGGUAGGCGGAAUGGACGGUGUAGCGGUGAAAUGCUUAGAUAUCGUCCAGAACACCGAUAGCGAAGGCAGCUUACUAAGGAGUAACUGACGCUGAGGCACGAAAGUGUGGGGAUCAAACAGGAUUAGAUACCCUGGUAGUCCACACUGUAAACGAUGAUCACUCGAUGUUGGCGAUACACAGCCAGCGUCUUAGCAAAGCGAUAAGUGAUCCACCUGGGGAGUACGCCGGCAACGGUG